UACGUAGGUGGCAAGCGUUGUCCGGAAUUAUUGGGCGUAAAGCGCGCGCAGGCGGCCUCUUAAGUCUGAUGUGAAAGCCCCCGGCUCAACCGGGGAGGGCCAUUGGAAACUGGGAGGCUUGAGUAUAGGAGAGAAGAGUGGGAUUCCACGUGUAGCGGUGAAAUGCGUAGAGAUGUGGAGGAACACCAGUGGCGAAGGCGACUCUUUGGCCUAUAACUGACGCUGAGGCGCGAAAGCGUGGGGAGCAAACAGG
rnacentral:rRNA from 1 species